CCUACGGGAGGCAGCAGUGAGGAAUAUUGGUCAAUGGGUGGGAGCCUGAACCAGCCAAGUCGCGUGAAGGAAGACUGCCCUAAGCGUCGUAAACUUCUUUUGUCGGGGAAUAAAGUGCGCCACGUGUGCCUUUUUGAAUGUACUCGAUGAAAAAGCAUCGGCUAACUCCGUGCCAGCAGCCGCGGUAAUACGGAGGAUGCGAGCGUUAUCCGGAUUUAUUGGGUUUAAAGGGUGCGUAGGGGGUCUGGAAAGUCAGUGGUAAAAGCUGGGGGCUCAACCCAGGAGAGCAGUUGAAACUGUCGGACUAGAGAAGGCGAGAGGUAGGCGGAAUGCGCGGUGUAGCGGUGAAAUGCUUAGAUAUCGCGCAGAACUCCGAUUGCGAAGGCAGCGUAC
rnacentral:rRNA from 1 species